UGAACGCUGGCGGCAUGCCUUACACAUGCAAGUCGAACGGUAACGGGCCUUCGGGUGCCGACGAGUGGCGAACGGGUGAGUAAUACAUCGGAACGUGCCCGAUCGUGGGGGAUAACGAGGCGAAAGCUUUGCUAAUACCGCAUACGAUCUACGGAUGAAAGCAGGGGACCGCAAGGCCUUGCGCGGACGGAGCGGCCGAUGGCAGAUUAGGUAGUUGGUGGGAUAAAAGCUUACCAAGCCGACGAUCUGUAGCUGGUCUGAGAGGAUGAUCAGCCACACUGGGACUGAGACACGGCCCAGACUCCUACGGGAGGCAGCAGUGGGGAAUUUUGGACAAUGGGCGCAAGCCUGAUCCAGCCAUGCCGCGUGCAGGAUGAAGGCCUUCGGGUUGUAAACUGCUUUUGUACGGAACGAAAAGCCUUCUUUUAAUACAGGAGGGUCAUGACGGUACCGUAAGAAUAAGCACCGGCUAACUACGUG
rnacentral:rRNA from 1 species